UGCAUCGAUGAAGAACGCAGCGAAAUGCGAUAAGUAAUGUGAAUUGCAGAAUUCAGUGAAUCAUCGAAUCUUUGAACGCACAUUGCGCCCCCUGGUAUUCCGGGGGGCAUGCCUGUUCGAGCGUCAUUACAACCCUCAAGCUCUGCUUGGUAUUGGGCCCCGCCAGUUCUGGCGGGCCCUAAAGUCAGUGGCGGUGCCAUCCGGCUCCGAGCGUAGUAAUUCUUCUCGCUCUGGAGACCCGGUUGUGUGCUUGCCAACAACCCCCAAUUUUUUAAGGUUGACCUCGGAUCAGGUAGGGAUACCCGCUGAACUUAAGCAUAUCAAUAAGCGGAGGAA
rnacentral:rRNA from 1 species